rnacentral:rRNA from 1 species
CAUGCAAGUCGAGCGAACAGAUAAGGAGCUUGCUCCUUUGACGUUAGCGGCGGACGGGUGAGUAACACGUGGGUAACCUACCUAUAAGACUGGAAUAACUCCGGGAAACCGGGGCUAAUGCCGGAUAACAUUUAGAACCGCAUGGUUCUAAAGUGAAAGAUGGUUUUGCUAUCACUUAUAGAUGGACCCGCGCCGUAUUAGCUAGUUGGUAAGGUAAUGGCUUACCAAGGCAACGAUACGUAGCCGACCUGAGAGGGUGAUCGGCCACACUGGAACUGAGACACGGUCCAGACUCCUACGGGAGGCAGCAGUAGGGAAUCUUCCGCAAUGGGCGAAAGCCUGACGGAGCAACGCCGCGUGAGUGAUGAAGGGUUUCGGCUCGUAAAACUCUGUUAUUAGGGAAGAACAAACGUGUAAGUAACUGUGCACGUCUUGACGGUACCUAAUCAGAAAGCCACGGCUAA